GAUCCGCUGGUCCGUGAACCGGUUCAGUCAGUCAAACCACUGAUGAGCUGACUCUUUCAACUGAAAAAGGCUGCAGAUGGCGAACAGAGUCAGAGACAGACAUUUGCAGGGGCCAGGUUCAGUGAUGCAAAGGACUCCACAUGUUGUAGAAAUGAAGCGGGGAACAGACAAAGAUUUAAAAUCAAGCAAACAAAUGGCGUAAACCUCUAGGCUUCCGCUGUCUUGAGCCUGCUGUUUGUUCAUGUUGUGGCACUGCCCUGCUCUAGUGGUCAUCUGCCUUGCCUCUAGUCAUCUGUGGUUGCCAUCUGCUUUCUACCGUGGAGCUAGACCAUCUAAGCCAGGCCCACACAACAUAAGACCCAGGGACUGGAUUCGGCCUACAGGACCUUUUUCUUCUUCUGGCCUGCAGGUCAGAAGCUGUGCAGACUUGAACAAAAGGUUCCCUGCCAUUGUUCCCUCCAUUUCCAUCUUCACUCUCUACCGCUCCUGAGUAAUAUCUAGCCACUACUUCAUGGCAGAAUUGCCCGUGUGGUGUAGACUGGGGUCAUCCCAGUCCCACACACUACCAACCACGAAGCUCCCUCGAUUGCCUUAGGUAUUGCCAUUUAUUUCAUUCGUUUUAUUUAAACUGAUAGUUCUGCCCCCUUCCUUGCUAGGCAACCUAAGGCAGCUCACAAAUGAUAACAAUGAAGCAUAGCAUUGUGGUAAUAAUAUGUUUAAGAAAAACAACAGAUCGGGGAAUAAGAAAAACAACAAAAGGAAUGGGAAACUAGCACAGCUACAACAUCCCCAUCAUCCCACAAAAGCACAGCAAAACAGCCAGACCAUGAUGUGAUAUGACACCUAAAGGAGUGAGAAUGUAAGGCUCAAAUGGACUUCUGUGGGGAAAGUGUUCCAAUGGGUUGGGGCCACCACAAGAAAGGCUUUGCUCCUGGUGGAUGCCUGCUGCUUCUCAGAACGAUGGUGUGAGGGUACAGGAGAGUACAUAUGGGUGAAGUCUAUCUUUCAGGGUUCUUGUGAGAAUAAAAUGGAAUGGAUACCAUCCUGAGCUCACUCUUUGGAGGAAGGGGAAAGUACAAGUGUGCAAUAAGCAAGCAACCUCCAUGGUGCCAUCUUUCUCCCACCCUCCCUUCUUUCACUCUCCACUUUUAUCUGCUAAGUCAUUCAGUUUAUGCUCACAAUCCUUAUCCUGCCAUUCCCAAACUGGAUGUCUUGAAAGAACGGUGAGAGUGUCAUGAGAAAUGCAUCAGUUUAAAUAAUUAAAAUUUCCUCUGUGGUCCAUGUACCAAUGUACCAACUUACAGAGGCGGUUGCAAAAUGCUUCUCUGUAUGAUUUCUUAUGACUCUGGCCUUGUCUCCUUCCAACCAGCAAGUGCUUCUGCCACAUUUCUGUACUGGAUGUGGUUGGAUUACAUUCUCUCAGAGGAGGCUGCCCAUUACAUCUCUGCCCAAGUCACUGCUCUGUGCUUGCUGCCUUCCAGCUCAGGUAGAAACUAAGGGAUGUGUUCUUCUGGUGAUUCUUACACUCAGGGGUGUGGUGGAGGCAGCAACGGA